rnacentral:rRNA from 1 species
GUUGAGGUAGCUGGAAUGAGUAGUGUAGCGGUGAAAUGCAUAGAUAUUACUCAGAACACCGAUUGCGAAGGCAGGUUACCAAGUUAUAACUGACGCUGAGGGACGAAAGCGUGGGGAGCGAACAGGAUUAGAUACCCUGGUAGUCCACGCCGUAAACGAUGCUAACUCGUUUUUGGGCUAUAUGGUUCAGAGACUAAGCGAAAGUGAUAAGUUAGCCACCUGGGGAGUACGACCGCAAGGUUGAAACUCAAAGGAAUUGACGGGGGCCCGCACAAGCGGUGGAUCAUGUGGUUUAAUUCGAUGAUACGCGAGGAACCUUACCAAGGCUUAAAUGGGAAUUGAUAGCUGUAGAAAUACGGUUUUCUUCGGACAAUUUUCAAGGUGCUGCAUGGUUGUCGUCAGCUCGUGCCGUGAGGUGUUAGGUUAAGUCCUGCAACGAGCGCAACCCCUGUCACUAGUUGCCAUCAUUAAGUUGGGGACUCUAGUGAGACUGCCUACGCAAGUAGAGAGGAAGGUGGGGAUGACGUCAAAUCAUCACGGCCCUUACGCCUUGGGCUACAC